UGGGGAAUAUUGCACAAUGGGCGCAAGCCUGAUGCAGCCAUGCCGCGUGUGUGAAGAAGGCCUUCGGGUUGUAAAGCACUUUCAGCGAGGAGGAAGGGUAGUGUGUUAAUAACACAUUGCAUUGACGUUACUCGCAGAAGAAGCACCGGCUAACUCCGUGCCAGCAGCCGCGGUAAUACGGAGGGUGCAAGCGUUAAUCGGAAUUACUGGGCGUAAAGCGCACGCAGGCGGUUUGUUAAGUCAGAUGUGAAAUCCCCGCGCUUAACGUGGGAACUGCAUUUGAAACUGGCAAGCUAGAGUCUUGUAGAGGGGGGUAGAAUUCCAGGUGUAGCGGUGAAAUGCGUAGAGAUCUGGAGGAAUACCGGUGGCGAAGGCGGCCCCCUGGACAAAGACUGACGCUCAGGUGCGAAAGCGUGGGGAGCAAACA
rnacentral:rRNA from 1 species